CACGUAGGAGGCGAACGUUAUCCGGAUUUAUUGGGCGUAAAGCGCGUGUAGGUGGUUCUGUAAGUAGGGCGUGAAAGCUCCUGGCUCAACCGGGAGAGGCCGUUCUAUACUGCAGAGCUAGAGGAUGGUAGAGGGAGGUGGAAUUCCAGGUGUAGCGGUGGAAUGCGCAGAUAUCUGGAGGAACACCAGUGGCGAAGGCGGCCUCCUGGACCAUUCCUGACACUGAGACGCGAAAGCUAGGGUAGCAAACGGGAUUAGAUACCCCUGUAGU
rnacentral:rRNA from 1 species